rnacentral:lncRNA from 1 species
GUCACUACCGAGUGCUGACAUACAGGGUUUCUGAAAUGAGAGUUCAAAUAUCAGCUGAAAGUCAAGAGUCCUCUCUCAGUGCAAAGCUGGUCCUGCUACUUGUAUUGCUAGCAAUUUUCUUCCCAGGUGGUGACAAUCAGGAAGGUAAGAAGAGCUCGGGCAGCUCAUAAACUGGUGCAGAGUUUCUGAUAGAAGGCAGGGUGCCUUGCCCAGGUGCACCUGGACUCUGAGGUCCUGCCCCCUCCUGACUCCAGCCCUGUUCCAUCUGCUGGAGAUGGGGCUGCAGCCUGAGGUCCGGGGAUCUCAGGUGUGUCAGGUAUUAUGCAUGUCAGUACGCAUGAUUUCUCUUUCCUUCCUGCCUCUCCCUUUCUCUUCACUCUCUUUCCUUCCUUCUUCACAGACUCCCAGGGGCCGACCACAUUCCACCUCAUCCAAAUCUCAUCCUUUGUCAACAGCACCUGGACACAGAACCACUGCUCAGGCUGGUUGGAUGAUGUGCAGGUUUUUGGCUGGGAUAGUGACACAGGCACUGCCAUCUUCCUAAAACCCUGGGCCAAGGGCAACUUCAGUGAUGAGGCCAUUCAGAUGGUGGAGGAGAUCUUCCGCAAUUACUUCUCUGUAUUCACCAGUGAAGUGCAGGAUCAUGUCAGUGAGUUCAAGUUGAAAUGUAAGUGCAGCCCUCAGACCUGAAAGGUCGCUAUUGACUUAUUAUCUCCUGCUCCAGGGCACUGCUCCCUGAGGUCCUUCCCCCUCCUCCAUUAUUUACUAAGCUGCAAUCACACUCUUCUCUAGAGUAGGCUCUAGCUCUGACUCCACACCUCCAGAUGUUGUUGCAUGUGCACCUGAUCUGAUGGGUAUGCUCUGCUCCGUGACCAGCCCUGUGUCUCCUGUGAAACUUGCUCCUUCUUUUCCUCUUUGUUCCUGAGAGACAUAAAAAUGUGCCUCCUAUUCUCAUCAUCCAUUCAGCCUUUUCCUCUCCAUGUGAAGCUCUGGUUUCCUUUGAAAGCUGUGCUGGUGACUGCAGGACACUCUUCCUUACCCUCUGCCUCUCCUCUCUCCUAUACCCACUCUAUACACGGAUUCAUACCCUGUUCAUAAUAUCCAUACCUCC